CUAUAGAAUAGAUUUUGACUAUAUAGAUUUAUUUGAUAUGGAUAUAGAUCCAUUUGGUUCAUUUGAUUCUUGCCGUAACUAUAACGGUCCUAAGGUAGCGAAAUUCCUUGUCGGGUAAGUUCCGACCCGCACGAAAG
rnacentral:ncRNA from 1 species